rnacentral:tRNA from 1 species
GCCUCUGUGGCGGAAUUGGUAGACGCAGUGGAUUCAAAAUCCACCGCUCGCAAGGGCAUGGGGGUUCAAGUCCCUCCGGAGGCACCA